UAAAUAGUCUGUUCUACGUGUUCUUUUCCAGCCAAAAUAUAUUAUAUGUUUCUCUACUUUUUGAACACAGUGUUUCAGCUUCACUUCCUAUUAAUCCUGAGAAGAAAUGACCAAGUAGCUGGUGCUUGCUGGCAGAGCAAGAGGAAUGCUGCAGUAAGCAAUGAAAUGGAGCAGAUUUAAAUGGGAAUAUGUCUUGGGAGAAUGCCUACCAACCUGCUAGUCACCAGUGGCAGGAAUUCCUCUCUUUCUCGUGCAGAUGUUCCAUUAUACAGAAAGCUGGUGAGCAGAGAUACAUAAAUCUGUAAUUUAGCG
rnacentral:lncRNA from 1 species